rnacentral:rRNA from 1 species
GAUGAACGCUGGCGGCGUGCCUAAUACAUGCAAGUCGAGCGAAUGGAUUAAGAGCUUGCUCUUAUGAAGUUAGCGGCGGACGGGUGAGUAACACGUGGGUAACCUGCCCAUAAGACUGGGAUAACUCCGGGAAACCGGGGCUAAUACCGGAUAACAUUUUGAACCGCAUGGUUCGAAAUUGAAAGGCGGCUUCGGCUGUCACUUAUGGAUGGACCCGCGUCGCAUUAGCUAGUUGGUGAGGUAACGGCUCACCAAGGCAACGACGCGUAGCCGACCUGAGAGGGUGAUCGGCCAACCUGGGACUGGAACACGGCCCAGACUCCUACGGGAGGCAGCAGUAGGGAAUCUUCCGCAAUGGACGAAAGUCUGACGGAGCAACGCCGCGUGAGUGAUGAAGGCUUUCGGGUCGUAAAACUCUGUUGUUAGGGAAGAACAAGUGCUAGUUGAAUAAGCUGGCACCUUGACGGUACCUACCCAGAAAGCCACGGCUAACUACGUGCCAGCCGCCGCGGUAA